UGAAAUGGAUUAUGUGAAUUUUGAGCGCUACUUGAUGUUACUCUAUUUCGUUUAUUUUUAGAUGAGAGAACAGACAGACGUCAGAAGGCCCAAAGCCCACAGCUUGAAGCUAAGAUGGAUUGCCUUCUUCCAAAACAAAAUCAAAUCUCCAUCCUUUCAUCCUUUCACGUUUGUCUCUAUUUUAUUAUCCUGGAAAGCAAAGGCCGUUUUGUUACAAACUGUAAUAAUUCACGAAUCGCGUGACAAUUAAUCACGGCCGUCACUAAUCCUAACACCCUAACCUAUACUGUGUCGAGAACGCACAAGGGCGAGAGAGAGAGAGAGAGAGAGAGCUUUCUGUGGUUCAAGAGAUACCAAAAUUCUAGCAGGAUCUUCCCCAGCAUAGAGAUUAGACAAAACUUCCAACUGAAAAAGCCACCGGCUCUAAUCCAGUACCCAUUUCUAACCGCUUUUCAAGAUACCAUCCCGUUCCGAGACAUCCACUGGGCAGGGACACCAGAAUUCUCCAAUCAUGGCCUCCCUAAUCUCACGAUGCUACCAUCCCAUUACUCUCAGGAUCAAGUAUUUGAUGGACAAAGCUCCUCGGGCAGUUUCUUUGUAGCCUGUGUAUCGAGAGUACUCUUGAGUCAGUAUGUUUUGAGACAGCUAAACCGAAAGGUUGAUCUACCCGGACAGAAUAUUAACCUGGAAAUGUCUCA
rnacentral:lncRNA from 1 species